CCACGUGUACCAGUCUCCCCCAGCCCAGCCCACGUGUACCAGUCUCCCCCAGCCCAGCCCACGUGUACCAGUCUCCCCCAGCCCAGCCCACUUCUACUAGUCUCCUCCAGCCCAGCCCACUUCUACCAGUCUCCUCCAGCCCAGCCCACUUCUACCAGUCUCCUCCAGCCCUGUGACGCCCCCCCGACAGUUUAACAAGCCCAGCCCAGCCUGGACAUGCUGACUGCCACAAGCACAAGCGUCUGCUAAAGCUGUUCUCUGAUAUAGCCCAGGAGCUCAAGUCUUGCUCAGUACCCAAUAAUAAGCAACCCGGGCAGCGACUACGAAGACUUUACAAACCCUGAAUUGGCAGCCUGGCCACAACAUGUCCUUGCGACAAGACCUCGUCCCCUCUGACUGGAAAAUGGAUUGCGUAACACCGAUUUUUAAGAAUUAUUGGUCCAUUAGUCUGACUUCACUAGUAGAAGAUGCAGCUGUAGCCGGACUGUUGCCUGCACCCCGAGAGCCCUGACACACUCCCUGUCCACCUCUGCGGGGGUCGUUUACUGCCCAUACAAGCACAGCGUGGGAAAACAAUUGGUCCGUUCGCAGCCUGGCGUCUUAAUCCCUAUCACCGCUACAGUUUUGAUUUCCCCUUCACUUCCCUGGCCAGAGGAGCGACUUAGCGCUUGUCAACGCUAAUUUGCAAAGAGAAUUUGACGUCUGAGAAUGUUGAGGAGAGUUAUUAAAUUAUUAGGAAGGAGGAACAGGAGGAGGAGGAGGGGAAGGUAAUGAAACUAGGAGGAAGAGGAAGGAGUAGUGAAAUGAUGGUUAGGUAUGGAUAGUUAUGUAGUUGGAGGAGCAGCAAGUGUUAAGGAGGAGAG